UACGGGGGGAGCAAGCGUUGUUCGGAUUUACUGGGCGUAAAGGGCGCGUAGGCGGUCAGCACAAGUCAGUUGUGAAAUCUCCGGGCUUAACUCGGAAAGGUCAACUGAUACUGUGCGACUAGAGUGCAGAAGGGGCAACUGGAAUUCUCGGUGUAGCGGUGAAAUGCGUAGAUAUCAGGAGGAACACCGGUGGCGAAGGCGGGUCUCUGGGCAGUAACUGACGCUGAGGAGCGAAAGCGUGGGGAGCGAACAGG
rnacentral:rRNA from 1 species